rnacentral:rRNA from 1 species
ACGCCGGAGAACCUUAACCUGGGCUUGACAUGUUUAGGACGACAUCAGAAAUGGUGUUUCCCCGCAAGGGGCCUUUUCACAGGUGCUGCAUGGCUGUCGUCAGCUCGUGCCGUGAAGUGAUGGGCUCACCCUCCCAAGUUGCCAAACUACUGUAUACACCAAUUCAAUUAAUACAAUCAAGCCAUACCUAGUAACGACCAUGCAUGACUACAACUCAACCAACACCCAACAACACGAUUAUCUAAAAUAAGCCCCAUAACAAUGACCUCUACCAAAAUCAUACAAACCCUGAUAACACACACUACCCAUACCAACCCAACAACAAAAAACCCUAAAUCUCCACGAAUCAUACAAUACAUGUAUUACAUACCAACUAUAGAAAACAAAUAAACUCUAAAUAAGCAUACUACCAGUAUCAAAUCAACGAAUAAUAUACACCCACAUUACAGAUACAUACCUAUUAAAACCUACCAACACAUUCUC